rnacentral:lncRNA from 1 species
GCUGCCAAAGUUGAGAAAUACUGGUUUAGUGGGAGACAGAGAUGGGUUAACAAAUCGCUCCAACACAAGGCUCCAACACAGGGUGCUCUAAUAGAGAAGGGGACAAGCCUCUCUGGGAACACAGGGAAGCAUGUGACUCCUUGAAUAGACAAGGGUCAUCAGAGACUGCGCAAAAAAGAUGAUACGUGAGCAGAGUCUUAGAAGAUGAGGGCAGCUUGCCAGGAGUUUGUUUUCUGAAUCUCUAAUGUCCUGCUAUCGAAGACCGAUUACAGAGGGUUUUCUUCAUUGACCAUUAGGGCACUUUCCACUGAAAAUGGUAAACAAUAUUACAAACUAAAAAAAAGAAGUAAUCUGAUUUCUGGGAAGAGGGAGCCCAGUGAAAGAUGUGUGCUUUUAUAAGGAUGGACAAUGGAAAGCAAAAUAAUAACUCCUAACUUUGAUUGUUCAAAUAUAUUCUGCAAUACGGAGAGCUGCAUGCAGGCUGGAGCAGGCAUGGGGCAGGAAGGUUAAGUAGAAGAGAAGGCACAAUACUUCAGAUUGGCAGUAGACUGCAGCAAGAAUAAUCUAAUCAAAACAAAAUUAAAUUAUCUAGUCCCAGGGCAGGCUCCUGGGGCUGCUGCAUUGAAUGCUAGCAGAGCUCCUCCUAGACAUUUUUCCCCAGUCAAACUCACAUGAUGAAUGCAGAUGAAAUUUGAAAUAUGAAAAUCUGAAAUAAUUUAUGGAAGUUGUCAGAAAUUUGGCCUGCUUGUGGUGUAAUUUCCUCUGAGACGAGGCAGGCCGGCUCACUGCUGCAAGACUUGGAGCGGCUGCCGGCCUUCCAGUGGAUGGAUCAACCCCUUUAAAAUGCUCUUCCAGACAAAUUACAGCUCAUUACACACAGCCUUGCACCAUGCCAUUAUGUCAGAGGAAAUCUUUUUUCAUUUGCACAAAUUUGCUUGGAAUUCUCAUAUUUAUUUGAGCAUCCAUUAUCGAAUCCGAACAUUGAAUUAUCCACAAUUAUUUUCUGG